UAUGAGAGAGAGAGAGAGAGAUUUGACUGGGCUAAGAAAGAAAUGAAGACGAUUUAGAGAUGGAAAUGGUGACAUAUGGGCCUUUGAAGCCUCCCAUGUUCCAGAGAAGACUGUGUGCGAAAUGUUCAAACUUGCUCACUGGGUUAAAAAGGAUGGAUAGCUUACAGAAAAAGAAGAAAAAAAGGAAACUCGGCUGUGCGCG
rnacentral:lncRNA from 1 species